GGUGAACGCUGGCGGCGUGCUUAACACAUGCAAGUCGAACGGAAAGGCCCAAGCUUGCUUGGGUACUCGAGUGGCGAACGGGGGAGUAACACGUGGGUGAUCUGCCCUGCACUUCGGGAUAAGCCUGGGAAACUGGGUCUAAUACCGGAUAGGACGAUGGUUUGGAUGCCAUUGUGGAAAGUUUUUUCGGUGUGGGAUGAGCUCGCGGCCUAUCAGCUUGUUGGUGGGGUAAUGGCCUACCAAGGCGUCGACGGGUAGCCGGCCUGAGAGGGUGUACGGCCACAUUGGGACUGAGAUACGGCCCAGACUCCGACGGGAGGCAGCAGUGGGGAAUAUUGCACCAUGGGCGCAAGCCUGAUGCAGCGACGCCGCGUGGGGGAUGACGGCCUUCGGGUUGUAAACUCCUUUCGCUAGGGACGAAGCGUUUUUGUGACGGUACCUGGAGAAGAAGCACCGGCUAACUACGUG
rnacentral:rRNA from 1 species